UUUAAAGUGCCUCUCUCUUUUAUCUGCGGCCAAUGAGAAUUACGCACGACUGUGAUUUGGCUACUGCGAUGUCGUGCGCAGUUUCCAACGUUACCCGGAAAUAAGCGAGGUAUUUUGCUCUCAGCUGUUUCCUUGUAAAAAAAACAAAACGCGUCUGUGCGCAUUUGUGGCUCAUUUUUUCUCCGGAGCCAGAGAGAGGGAUGGAGUGAUAGAUGGAGGGAUGGAGUGAUAGAUGGAGGGAUGGAGAGAUGGCGGUGCGUGCCGCAGGAGGAUGUUGCGCACUUCGUUUUUACCUCUGGAGUGAGUGACCCGGUUGCUGCGUAAUGGUUUUAAUGUGCGUGGUACCUGCGCUUGUCGUCGAUGUUUACCUCAGCUUCACUUGUUUUGUGAUGAAGACUCGUUUAUUGGCUUCGUCCCUUUAACGUCUCAAUUACAAGGAGCAGGAAAAGAAGUUGGAUUAAGUUACAGGUACUUUAAAUUAGUGUACUUUAAAAAAACAAAACAAAAGGAAUCUGUAUGUUUCUGCUUUUGUUCUGGAUAUGUAUAUGUACAUAUAUAUACAUACUACUUACUUUUAAAUCGUGUCAUUAUUAUACUUGUCAGUAUCCUGCUGUGUAUAAUGUCCCUGCUAAAUAUUCAGUUUUUUUAACAAGAACAUAUUUAAAGAAAUGUAAAAAUAAGUUACCACUUCAUUCAAGAAUCUUUUGCUGUGUGAAGACCUGAAGUUAAUAUUAUGUAAGAUUGUUUUCCCUCGUUGUUCCGUUUGCAGAAAUAUUUUUCCCUUCUAUGAGUUUGAAUUUUUCUUAAACAUAUUGUUAUAAUCAGUGUUAUUGAUUCCUCCUCAGUCUGGUUUUUAUUGUUUGGAAAGCUGUGGUGUCUGCGCCUCCUGCGCCUGCGCCUCGACUCGGCUCCAUCCAGAGGUUUCUAUGUCAUACGCACUUUUUAUUCCUGAUGUAAACAAACCCUCUGAAGAGUAAUUCCCUCUUCCGACACAGGGCGGCGUGCUCGUGAAGGUUUGACGCACAGAGCAUGAGGUAUCAGAAAACAUUGUUGUUGGAAUGAGUCAGAUUUAUUUUUCCAGGGAAAGAACAUCUACCGUAAACGAGAAUGAGUUUUCUCUUUUUUUUUAAUUCCCAGUAACUCUGUCCACAGGAGGAUUGACACAUCUGUUGUUGUCUCACAUCUCCACGUUUGGAUUUGCAUGUUUGAGACGCACAGAAAUGAACGUAUUAGAGAAUCUGACAAAACCACAGAGUCCAGAUUAGACUCUUUCUUCUUCCUCUCCAGAUAAAUAUUGCUGUUCUCGUUUUUUUUUUUUUUUCUACAGAGGGAAAUGAGGUGCUGCUUUAGACUCUCGCUCUCUCUCUCUCUCUCGAAGGUAAGAGCCAGUGCACGUCAUGGAAAACCAGCGAUAUUUACCGUACAAGAAAUGGUACAACAGCUCACUGUUUAUAUCAUUUGAAAACUUUAUAUCCAAGGUGUGGCCAGUUGUCAAAGUGUCACAAUUAAACUAAAUCAAAUUAGUUUAUUUUUAUGUUUGAAAUGUCCUGAAAUAAUAAUAAUAAUAAUACCUGGGAUUUUCUCAGGACCUGCUGCGACGUCUCUUCCUUCUCAGUCGACACGACCACGAGCUGAAGACGUGGCCCCUGCAGAUCGGGGCUCCGUUGGCCAAAUUGCAUUAGAAAUGAAAACUCAUCCGAUCAAGGUACGUGAAGAAUCAAAUGAAACUGCAAAGGCCCAAAUUCUUAAAAUAAACUCUGCUAAUGUUUGACUGAACCAAAACAGACUAUUUAUAAGACAGCGACACAGUCAUUUUAAAGACACAGCAACUUCCCUCUAACAUUUCAUACAAUACAAAGUGUUGUACAAUCACGUAAUAGUUAACAGUUAAUGUUUUUCAUAUUCUCGUCAUUUUAUAAGAUUUGUGACAUUUUAGAAUCAGACAGUCGUGUUAUUUUGAGUAGAGAUAGAGGAUUGAACUGGUAUUUGUCUCCUUUGGAUGAGGUCUGAGGCAGGAAACAACAAGAACUGAAAGAGGAAGAACAUGUGGUCGGCCUAUUCAUGGUAAAUCUCCUCACACGCUUUGUUCUUUUCUAUGCUAGUUCUAUUCAGGAAGUAAAAAGUACUAACACUGAAUGAGAAGCAGAAUGCAGAAAUCACUGUAUCAACCAUCAUAUGUUUGUUUUUUUUUUAACAAAAGACAACGUAUAUGUUUAUAGAUAAGUAUUUCUUCCGGUGGAGCUUUAGAGAUGAGCGGAGUCUCUCGUUAGACAGUAUUUGAAAAGCCAAAACACCAUCUGAGCGCUUAUGCAACUGAUACAUAAGCUGGUGAUGUGCCUUUAAAACCAGUGGGUUGUCAGGUGAUCGAGGAGGCUCAGUCAGCUCAGCCUCGCAGACAGAGGAGCCAGAGUGUGUCUCUCGCAGAGAGGAGGGCAGCGGAGAGGCAGUGAGACCAAUUAUCAGGGGACAUGGGGGGGAAAUGGGGACACAGCAGCGUCACAGAGUGGGGGACAGGGAGCCGUGGUGGUAGGGUCCCUUUUACUGCAGUCUGCUCAUGCUGUCUUCCCUUGUGUGGCUGCGAGCAAGUGUGUUUCUGCCUCAGCUUGAUCAUUACGCUGUGUUGUGCAGCCACAACACUGGUAUAAAAGCGCAGAGAAUUAAGUGCUGCGUCACACUCAGGAAGAGGAAUAGCGUGAUCAUGCGCGCGUGUGCACGGCUGUGCGUGCAUGCGCACGUACAUAUGCAUUUCUGUGUGGUCUGCUCCAUUUCUGUGUCUAUGUGCUAGUUCGAAGCAGCUGUGUUAAUGGCUGAUCUGCAACCAGAUGAAAAUAAAGAGUGCGUGUGUUUGAGAGGUAAGCAGAAAGCGAGAGGGGGAGACAGAGAGACCGAGGGAGGGAGAGGGAGGGAGAGAGAGAGAGAGAGAUUUUGGAUUAGUUGCUACGUCACUUUUUCAUGUUGGGAGAAACAGAAGCUGAGAUAGCAGAAGCCCAGAGUCAUGGAGUUUUCCACCUGAAGUGGACACAGUGGUUUCGGACAAGCCUGGCUUUCUCCUCUUCCUCUUCCUCCUUGGUAGUUCUGAUCUGCUCUGCCUCUCGCUACUAUAUAUAUAUGUGUGUCUGUGUCUCUGUGUGUGUGUGUGUGUGUCUCUGUGUGUGUGUGCGCAGUGUAGUUCCUGUGUGAGCUGGUAUUGGGAGUUUCAACAUGGAUGCUGAAGAUGGCACAGUGUCUCUAGAUCUUGUUGUGUUGGCGUGUUGGGUGGGCUGCGGUGCGACAAAGGGGUUAACAAAAAGAAUAUUCUGGAGGAUUCUUAAUACCACAGCGAAGCUCAGUCAGGAAUGUUUUGCCGAGAAUUAUCAAGGUAUUCAAACAUCUCUUCUGUCUUUUUUUGCCACCGUCACAACACGGAAUAGAGAUGAUUACAUCGGUGUAAAUAGGUGAAUACAUUCAUGCAUGGUGUCGCAUGACCUAUUAGGAAACAGUGUUAUAUGCUUGACACAGCGUUAUAUGGGAGUGGGCACCGAUGCAGCCGUGUGUACACAACAGCUGCCAUCAAAUCAAAUUACAGGAUAAGUUCGUUGCUGUAUUCAGCGAAAAUACUGAUGUUUGAUUUAAAUCUCGAAUAUUCUGUAAAUGUCUCUCUGUCGGGGCUGUCGACGACUACUUGUUGUAGUUAACUCUUGAUGGAGUUGAUGGGAGAAGUGAGCCUGCAUGCUUGUAUGACUGGUUGGGUUCUGUAUGUUAUCGGACAACAGAUCCGCUCGGUGUCUGUGGCUAGUGGCACUUUUGUCAUGUGAUUUGUUUUCGCUCCUCUGGGCCACUGGGAUUUGGCAAAGCCCUUCCCGAGACACAUUUGUUUCUGCGUAGUAAGGAGAGACAGAGACGGUGACGCAGUCAUCUCUGGGCUGGAUUUCUCCUCCACCAGUACGCAGCAGCUUGUACCUCUCCCUCUCUUUCUCUCUAUCUGUUUAUCUAUCCAUCCAUUGCUCUCCGAGAGAAGGGGAGUGAUGGAAAAAGGGCUAAAUGUCACGGCUAAGGACCCGAGGUAGAGAAACUGAGAUAGAGAGAAAAAGAGGGGGAGAAAGAGAGAAGUUGUUUACCUUGCUCUCUUGGUGACUUUGCUUUGGCGUCUCUCCAGUUCACAUGCACUGGACUUCCUAAAGCCGCAGCAUCACAGGCCAUCGUGCCAAAGCUGGAUUCUCAUUGGAUGGGAGGAGCUCCCCUGGCUCCACAAGCUGCACAGCAGCACUUUAUUGGCUUAGUGCAAGCGAGCAGCCGGAGGUCAAAAUCUGAUUGGUUAAGAGGCGCCUUUAUUUUAUACACAGCUUGCGCAGAAACACUGUUCCAUGGAUACAAGUCUGUUUAGUAUGAGAUGACUUGUUGGUCAUUGUUAACAUGGUAACAUGUAUUUCCUACGAGAUUCCAGAGCUGAGGAAUCAGAGUUGUCACUGAUGUUUUGUUGGGGACAUCCCUGCCAGUGUUUGUGGCGUUUGUGAAGUUAUUAUCAUACAUUCAUCGAUCAGCAGAUUUCUCUCUGUACCUUAGUAACAGUGUUUUACAGGUAACUUAAUUUUCUAAUCAUUUCUCUGGAUCUUUGUUUGAAAGAGCUACGAAAUGGGUCAUAAUAACAAGGAAAUUCAAGCAAUUAUUUCAGUGUAAUUAGUUAUUUAAUUAGUGUAUAAGAAUAUGUUGAUUUCCACAUAGUAAAUAUCUUUUUUAAUUUGUUUGCCAAUUUCAUUCUGCAUGUGUAGACAAGUUCCACAUGACCUGCCGUGCGUUGAUCUCAGGAUUCUGUAGCCUGCAGCAGCAAGAAACCCUGAAUUAAUUAAUUGGAAGUGGACCAGAAAUACAGUCUCCAUUUGACUAAACACUAGGUGGAGCUUUUAAGAGCAGCUGUGUGAAUAUUGGCUUCUAUUUAUUGAUUUUAACAUCGUUUUAAGCCAAGACAUACAUGGAUAUUUAAAAUAUUUGAUAAUCCAAUUGCCAAGUCCAUUUCCCCCCCCCGAGAUAAAUUCCCCGUCCAGAAACCGGACAACAUAUCAGUUUCUUUUCGUGGAAAUCGAUGUGAACUGUGCGAGCUGUGAAACUUCCUGCUCACCCUGGACUCAGGGCUGCUCGGCUUCUCCUUCACAGCAGGACCGUGUCUGUUGAAGGUGGCGACCGCACGAGGGACUGAAAUCCCCCGGUCGAGAGCGAGCUCUUCUUAUUCUGCUGGCUGGAGGUCCGGCGUCCGAGAGACGCCACGUUUCUGAGAUGAUGCAAGAGAGCGUGUGUGGCUGCGCGUGGUCUGCAUUGCAGCUCCCGCUUCCACAGUCAGCGUCUCUCUCUCUCUCCCCCCCCCUCUCUCUCGCUCUCACUCGCUCUCUCUCAUAAAUGCGCUGAUGGUAUAACAAACGCUUUACUGAGGCUGCGUAUUUAUGAUUGUAGAAACGCAGGUUCCUUUUAUCAGCGCGGAAGCUGAUACUGUCCCAGUCACCUCACCACUACGGGGGGGGGGGCAUUUCUUAUGAAUUAGUGAAGACUGGUUCGUCUGCUCGUCUGAGGCCACACACACAUCAACACAAAGCGUAAAGGUGACGCACCGUUAGAGAGACAAAUGCAUCGUUCCAGCGUCACGUCUUUUUUAAAUAAGCUGUAUUUUAACUCUGUACAGUAUUUACAGCAUUGAUUAGUAACAUAAUUGAAAAAAUGGGUCAAUGUUUAAAGUGUUUGUACACAAGAAAACGUCAUAUCAUGCAUAUUUCAGGUGUUAAAAUCCGUUUUGUUUCAAUAGUCUGUGUUUAAAACGACGGACGCCUGUGACGACGUGGCCCUCGUGAGUUUCCCCAGGGUGCGUCACACUCUCUCUCCGAAGGCCGCCUGUCCCUUUAAAUCUUUCAUAAGCAUUACACAACAGGUCCAGUGGCACACAAGCAACAAACAGCCCAAAUAAAGAAAAUUGACGGGGUUGGGUUGAGCCAGCCGAAGGAACCAGACACCUACAGAUAGACAGGCUCUCUGAUCAAAACCGUCACUGUGGAUACCGUGCAAACACACACACGCGCACACUUAUAUUGCCUUACACGCCCUCACACACAAACACAACUUGCAAAAGCUGUGGGGAUUUUGUCCUUCCUCCCGUCUGAUCUGGCUCCAGGGAGGUUAAAAGACGAGUGUGGCGGAGAAGCGAAGGCAGACUGUGUGUGUGGGCGCAUGUGUUCUGAAGGGAUGAGGGUUUGAAGACAGGCGUCAGUGGGAGAAAGGAUUUUACAAUCGAUUGGGUGGUUUUGUACUUUGUUGAAACACUUGGCAACAUGUCAGUGAACUGGUCACUACCUGUCCCUGCCCCACCCCGUCAGCGUAUUACUGCUGCGUGUCUGCACCAUGGCUCCCACUGCCAGCGAUUGACUGCCACUUCCUUGCUCUUCCCUUCUCGUCGAUCGGAGUGCGAACGCAUCCCCGACCAUUCUACCAGGCAACGAGAGAGGAGAGGACUCAUCGAGGUCCCUGCUGCAGCUGCAGGUGAGCGCUCGCGUUCGAAGACGCACAGCGACCGUGUUUUGUGUGUCUGUUUCGGCCCUUCGCACAUCCGUGAGGCUUGGAUCGUGUAUCAGAUCAGUCGUGUAGGCGUGUUACAGAGAAACGGAUUGAGAGAAAGAGAGACACAGAGAGAGAGAGAGAGAGGGGGGGUGUUCUGGUGCUUUCUCUGUGGUUUUCCAUUUCAUCUCUCUAUCUCGCUCUGCACUCACCUGCUUCCCUCCUCUCUGCUUUCUGGCCCGAACCAGGGCGGUGAAUCAUACUUCCUUCUCGAGCCGGAGAGUCUAACCUCUCUCAGAGUGCAUUACAAUUAAGGUCCAUAGUAUCUGAGGUGCUGCCAGUUUUCCCUGCACCGUCAUCUCGGUCAGCUCGGAAACAACGACGACAGCUUCACUACAAGUGCGCUGUCAUUAAUUCAAUCAUAAAGGAGACAUAUUAUGCUUUUUCAGUGUUCGUUACCAUCCUUCCUGUCCCGAUACUAAUUCUGUUACCUGGAUUUUUCAUAUCGGCUGAUAUCGAUACCAGUGAAUAUAAAAGAAUAACAACUUUUAUCGUGUAUUUUAACAGCUGUACGCUACUGACCCCUUGUGGCAGUGAUUGUUAUCAUCGUAGUCUGACCUGGUUCUGCUUUGAAAAUCAAAUACAUGAAGAGAAUGAGUAACAUACAGCUUUUCUUACAGCUACUAAAUAAAACUAGUAAUAAACAACAGUUACUUCCUUUAAAUAGCUGGAAACUGAAGUUUUGCACAUGUCGCUGUUUUGCUGGUGGCACUUUCCAGUGUGAAGUGUUUACUAAUUGCCGAUAUUAAGUUCUGGCUACCGCUUCACUAUCGGUACUUCUUCGUGCCAGUGGCACUGCUGUUUUGGAGCUGUGAAAAGAAAACUGCAGUUAUAUCUGGGUUAAACAAAUAUAUUCUAAAGACGUGGUAUCGGAAUGGUACAUAGAUUUGCAUUUUCGCUAGUAUUGGAGGCGUUUCCGAUUCUGGCUGGUAUCAGUAUGGGAACAGCGCUAACGUUAGCCAUAAUUUGCAUAACGCACGCUCUCCUAAAAAGCCAAAUAAAAAGGGAGCAGAGGCCGACAUUUUCUACACUGUUGACCAAUCACAACAGAGCAGGCUGACUGGCCAAUCAGAUCAGACCUUAUCAGGAGGGCGGCCUUAAAGGAGACGGGAGCUAAAAGGGUUUCUGACGGAGGCUGAAAAGAGGAGCUGCAGCGAUGGGCAGUAUGAGGAAAGUUUUCAUGUAAAACUUUUCAAGUAAUAACACUAAUUUAAAACUGAAUACAAGCAGAUUAUGUCUCCUUUGAUUGUUCGAUUUACAAAUGGUAAAGUCUACGGCUGAGCUGAGGUAUGAAACCACAACGUCUGCCUCUCUCAGAUCUUAUUUAACAGUCGAAUCAUUGCUUUGGCCGCUGGCUUUUUUAAUAAUUCACAUCUGUAAACAAAGCAUGCAAGUAUUCUGUAAGAGGUGGCUGCUCGUGAGAUAGAAUAGAUCACAGUUUGUCAACGCUUAAUAAAAAUCUGUUAAAUGUCGACCACCGCUUGUUGUCCCCGAAGUCGUGUUUUUUAAGUAAAGAGAGAAAGCUGCCUCUUGGAGCAUCUUGAAUUAGUUUAAAAGUUUGCCCCAGAUCCCAGAACACAUUUAGUCUUCUUGAAAAUAUUAAUUCCUAAUAUCAAAAACGUGUGUGUGUGUGUGUUGCAGAUUUGUAAGUCGGGGCUGUCCCUCGAGUCGCUGCUUCAUAUCUACGGUAUCUUUCCAAGGCUCUUUGUUAAUUACACUACCUGCAGAUAUUGAGCCACGCGUCUAUCUGCCGCUGCAUCUGAACCACUUUUUCUUGUUCUCUCGAAUCUUUUUGUUUCAGUUUCUUCGACGGAAAUGUUUCUUGGAAAUGCCUUCGUGGGAUCGCCGCUCGCACCACAUCCACGACAACGGAGAAUCACAACUUGUUACACAGGGUUGAUUUCCCUUUGGGAUUUUCUACUAAUAUUGAUUUUAUUACUUUUUUUCGUAAAGGUUCCCUCGAGGGUGUUUGGCGCCACAGGAAGUCCGUUUUGUGCCCCCCUUGGAAGCUGGUUUCAGAUGGUGGCUUAGAGUAUCGUCACCUAUCUAGCACCAUUUGAAAUCAGUGUUCUUGGGGUGGGAUGUGUUUCACUGAGCAGCAGCAGCAGGAAGCCACGAAGUGUCACAGCAGGUUUCUAGUGAUGAAGGUAAGAGAGACAACUUCACCUGUCCAGCGCCGCUCCUUGAAGCGCCACCUAGUGGUCAACAAACCGUGGAUCUGCAGCGACAGCUCAAGCUCUUUGUCCUAUCUCCAAGGUUGACCGAUUUCUUUUGGUGUUCAGAGUCUACUAUUGUUUCUAGCACCAUUUGAAAUCGGUUACAGUGAAGGACAGAUCUCGUCUCACCUUGAUGUGGAUUUUGCAACCAAGCCGUCUUCAUUUUACUGCUGAAACUUCGAAGUUAAACAGUUUAAAAUCGAGGCAAAGUAGUAAUUUAGUUCUCAAACAGUUCAGGAUCGCUCAUUGAAAUCUAGAUUGUUAAUUUUACAGGGGAGGGAGAAGAAUCAAGAUUUUUUUCUUUGCUUAAAUGAUGAGAAUGACAAAGAUUCUAUAUUUUAGUGUUAAUGGCAAAAUGCAUUGUUUUAUAUCUAUCUCUUUUGUAAAUGGUUCUUCUCACAGUAAUGCAACAGGUGUCAGGUAAAAAAAAGUACAAUAUUUGCACUUGACGAAAUGUUGGUUUAAAAGUAUUUUAAGCAAAUUUGAGUAAUUGGAUUGUUUGACACUGUAAAAUAAACUAUUGCAUCAGA